GGGUUGUGAGGUUAAGCGACUAAGCGUACACGGUGGAUGCCCUGGCAGUCAGAGGCGAUGAAGGACGUGCUAAUCUGCGAUAAGCGUCGGUAAGGUGAUAUGAACCGUUAUAACCGGCGAUUUCCGAAUGGGGAAACCCAGUGUGAUUCGUCACACUAUCAUUAACUGAAUCCAUAGGUUAAUGAGGCGAACCGGGGGAACUGAAACAUCUAAGUACCCCGAGGAAAAGAAAUCAACCGAGAUUCCCCCAGUAGCGGCGAGCGAACGGGGAGCAGCCCAGAGCCUGAAUCAGUGUGUGUGUUAGUGGAAGCGUCUGGAAAGGCGCGCGAUACAGGGUGACAGCCCCGUACACAAAAAUGCACAUACUGUGAGCUCGAUGAGUAGGGCGGGACACGUGGUAUCCUGUCUGAAUAUGGGGGGACCAUCCUCCAAGGCUAAAUACUCCUGACUGACCGAUAGUGAACCAGUACCGUGAGGGAAAGGCGAAAAGAACCCCGGCGAGGGGAGUGAAAAAGAACCUGAAACCGUGUACGUACAAGCAGUGGGAGCACGCUUAGGCGUGUGACUGCGUACCUUUUGUAUAAUGGGUCAGCGACUUAUAUUCUGUAGCAAGGUUAACCGAAUAGGGGAGCCGAAGGGAAACCGAGUCUUAACUGGGCGUUAAGUUGCAGGGUAUAGACCCGAAACCCGGUGAUCUAGCCAUGGGCAGGUUGAAGGUUGGGUAACACUAACUGGAGGACCGAACCGACUAAUGUUGAAAAAUUAGCGGAUGACUUGUGGCUGGGGGUGAAAGGCCAAUCAAACCGGGAGAUAGCUGGUUCUCCCCGAAAGCUAUUUAGGUAGCGCCUCGUGAAUUCAUCUCCGGGGGUAGAGCACUGUUUCGGCAAGGGGGUCAUCCCGACUUACCAACCCGAUGCAAACUGCGAAUACCGGAGAAUGUUAUCACGGGAGACACACGGCGGGUGCUAACGUCCGUCGUGAAGAGGGAAACAACCCAGACCGCCAGCUAAGGUCCCAAAGUCAUGGUUAAGUGGGAAACGAUGUGGGAAGGCCCAGACAGCCAGGAUGUUGGCUUAGAAGCAGCCAUCAUUUAAAGAAAGCGUAAUAGCUCACUGGUCGAGUCGGCCUGCGCGGAAGAUGUAACGGGGCUAAACCAUGCACCGAAGCUGCGGCAGCGACGCUUAUGCGUUGUUGGGUAGGGGAGCGUUCUGUAAGCCUGUGAAGGUGUACUGUGAGGUAUGCUGGAGGUAUCAGAAGUGCGAAUGCUGACAUAAGUAACGAUAAAGCGGGUGAAAAGCCCGCUCGCCGGAAGACCAAGGGUUCCUGUCCAACGUUAAUCGGGGCAGGGUGAGUCGACCCCUAAGGCGAGGCCGAAAGGCGUAGUCGAUGGGAAACAGGUUAAUAUUCCUGUACUUGGUGUUACUGCGAAGGGGGGACGGAGAAGGCUAUGUUGGCCGGGCGACGGUUGUCCCGGUUUAAGCGUGUAGGCUGGUUUUCCAGGCAAAUCCGGAAAAUCAAGGCUGAGGCGUGAUGACGAGGCACUACGGUGCUGAAGCAACAAAUGCCCUGCUUCCAGGAAAAGCCUCUAAGCAUCAGGUAACAUCAAAUCGUACCCCAAACCGACACAGGUGGUCAGGUAGAGAAUACCAAGGCGCUUGAGAGAACUCGGGUGAAGGAACUAGGCAAAAUGGUGCCGUAACUUCGGGAGAAGGCACGCUGAUAUGUAGGUGAAGUCCCUCGCGGAUGGAGCUGAAAUCAGUCGAAGAUACCAGCUGGCUGCAACUGUUUAUUAAAAACACAGCACUGUGCAAACACGAAAGUGGACGUAUACGGUGUGACGCCUGCCCGGUGCCGGAAGGUUAAUUGAUGGGGUCAGCGCAAGCGAAGCUCUUGAUCGAAGCCCCGGUAAACGGCGGCCGUAACUAUAACGGUCCUAAGGUAGCGAAAUUCCUUGUCGGGUAAGUUCCGACCUGCACGAAUGGCGUAAUGAUGGCCAGGCUGUCUCCACCCGAGACUCAGUGAAAUUGAACUCGCUGUGAAGAUGCAGUGUACCCGCGGCAAGACGGAAAGACCCCGUGAACCUUUACUAUAGCUUGACACUGAACAUUGAGCCUUGAUGUGUAGGAUAGGUGGGAGGCUUUGAAGUGUGGACGCCAGUCUGCAUGGAGCCGACCUUGAAAUACCACCCUUUAAUGUUUGAUGUUCUAACGUGGACCCGUAAUCCGGGUUGCGGACAGUGUCUGGUGGGUAGUUUGACUGGGGCGGUCUCCUCCUAAAGAGUAACGGAGGAGCACGAAGGUUGGCUAAUCCUGGUCGGACAUCAGGAGGUUAGUGCAAUGGCAUAAGCCAGCUUGACUGCGAGCGUGACGGCGCGAGCAGGUGCGAAAGCAGGUCAUAGUGAUCCGGUGGUUCUGAAUGGAAGGGCCAUCGCUCAACGGAUAAAAGGUACUCCGGGGAUAACAGGCUGAUACCGCCCAAGAGUUCAUAUCGACGGCGGUGUUUGGCACCUCGAUGUCGGCUCAUCACAUCCUGGGGCUGAAGUAGGUCCCAAGGGUAUGGCUGUUCGCCAUUUAAAGUGGUACGCGAGCUGGGUUUAGAACGUCGUGAGACAGUUCGGUCCCUAUCUGCCGUGGGCGCUGGAGAACUGAGGGGGGCUGCUCCUAGUACGAGAGGACCGGAGUGGACGCAUCACUGGUGUUCGGGUUGUCAUGCCAAUGGCACUGCCCGGUAGCUAAAUGCGGAAGAGAUAAGUGCUGAAAGCAUCUAAGCACGAAACUUGCCCCGAGAUGAGUUCUCCCUGACUCCUUGAGAGUCCUGAAGGAACGUUGAAGACGACGACGUUGAUAGGCCGGAUGUGUAAGCGCAGCGAUGCGUUGAGCUAACCGGUACUAAUGAACCGUGAGGCUUAACCUUACAACGCCGAAGCUGUU
rnacentral:rRNA from 1 species